rnacentral:rRNA from 1 species
AUUGAACGCUGGCGGCAGGCCUAACACAUGCAAGUCGAACGAGUGGCGGACGGGUGAGUAAUGUCUGGGAAACUGCCUGAUGGAGGGGGAUAACUACUGGAAACGGUAGAUAAUAACGCAUACCAUCGAAUGUGCCACGAUGGGAUUAGCGAGUAGGGGGGGUAAAGGCUCACCUAGGCGAAGAUCCCUCGCUGGUCUGAGAGGAUGACCAGCCACACUGGAACUGAGACACGGUCCAGACUCCUACGGGAUGCAGCAGUGGGGAAUAUUGCACAAUGGGCGCAAGCCUGAUGCAGCCAUGCCGCGUGGAUGAAGAAGGCCUUCGGGUUGUAAAGUACUUUCAGCGGGGAGGCGUUACCCGCAGAAGAAGCACCGGCUAACUCCGUGCCAGCAGCCGCGGUAAUUC